CCCAGGGUUCUCAGAAUUCCAAACCUGUUCUCCACCAGGUAUUUACCCAAGCUGUGCUCCUUGCGGGCCCAUGUGCCCGAAUUCCACAUUUUUCACUGGCUUUCCUGGCUCCUGCAGGCCAUGGGACCUCAAAGUCUUGCCCCCAAUUCAGGAGAAUGGGCAGGGCCAGAUUAGAUUCAGGUAUUCAAGGUCCCCUACAGUCUGCGAACACCUUGAGAGCAGGUUCCCCAAAGAACAGAGACUGCACUGCCAGGCCUUCCGAGAGACACUUGUCGCCGGCAGAGAAGCGGGUGUGUCAACAACUACCAAGGCGGACCGCUGGCACUUAGGACCGGAGGAGGACGGAGGACGACGGGUUGGGGGAGCUUGCGCAUAUCUACAGACAUAGCAGCGUCAUGCUGAGAUGGGGAGGGCUCUUUCCCCAAACCCGAAAUGGUCUGGCUCUCUCGUCUGAUCACGAAGAGUCCCCUUCUGGAAGGACAGGGGAAGCCAGGAAACGGACUCGGUGCAGUGGCCAAGAGCUACGGAAAAACUUUGCUGCGCACAGUCCCCUUGGGUACCGGCCGAGCCAAGGGCAGGGCGCUGGGGGCAACACCAGUUCGGCGGGGCAGGAGGUGGGUCUGGGCACUCAAGGCCCCUCCCCGGCCCAGUAGGUCCCCCUGAAACACUUUUUGAAAUUGCACUGCAGACAGCGCAGCCACUCUUCCCUUGCGCCGGGUGCUAGUCUUGUUCACGCUCACACCUGGACGCCGGCGCCGGGCACGUGAGAGGGCUCCGAGAGGGCAGCAGGGACAGCGGUUUCACUUCCGUGGCCGAGCCAGCCAAGGCAAGUAACCCGACCUCCCAGGCCAGCAUCAAGAGGACCGACACCGCGGGGCGAGAGCUGGCGCAAUUCUACUCUUGCCAACUUCUGACCCCAGGGCCCCGGGCGGGCCAUGUAGACCCUCCCGGAGCCCCAGGAGCCCAAGCCCGAGGCCACCGCUUACCUGACUCCCGGGAGCAGGCGGGGUGUGCAUCCCCGACCAGUUGCGGAUCGGUCCUCUGCAGAGGGACAAGAAGCUCAGCGCGGGUCAGUAGGAUGAGUAGGGACGCGGCGGGCAACCCGAGAGCUCAAGGAACAAUCCCCAAGCCUUUGCGCCGCCGCUCGCACCGUUCGGCACCAGUUGAAGGCGCCGGCCCCGCCCCCGCCCGCGCUCGUUGCCGGGAGACCCGCGUGGGCCGAAGGGGCUCUUUGUAUCAAAGCGGCCGUGACAUCACGAGGUGCCCGGGCUCGGGGACUAGGAGGGGCGGGGCCUCACGCCGGGGGCGGGGCCGGAGGAGGAGGGGGAAGCGCGGCCUGGGAACCCGAGCCGUGGGGCGGGGCCCAGGUAGCACCGCCCACGCAAGGUAGGGGCAGGUGGCUGAGUCGGCAUCGACCAAUAGCUGCGUGGCCGCGGGGCGGGCCCAGGCGACCCUGCGCCUUGGAGGGGUGGAGCUCGCCUAGGCCCGCCCGAGCCCGAGACGCAAAGUUACUAAGGCCCGGAGGUCUGCUAGAUCACGCUCCAGCCGGUUCCAUGCCACUCUUAUUGUUUGUUGUCACCGCUCUGCAAGAUUCCGGCCAGCAACCCCUGGCUUAUGUUCCUGGAUCCAACUAACACCUGCCAAGCCUCUCCCAACACAUCACCACCGUCUUCACCACCAGCCGGUCUGAUGGCUCAUAAAUAGAUUUUUUCCUGAAUCCCACGCACAACUUUUCUAAUCUUUCGUGUAAAGCGAAAGCUAUCGUAUAGUACAAAAGAAACAAGUGGCAAAAAGACCCAACAAAAAGAGGACUCCUGUGGAAUCCUAGUAAAUAUAAUUUGCAUCGGAAAUGUGGCCCUUCAUAACUCUUCGUGCUCCAGAUUAAAAUAAGGCGAAAAUGAUGUGACGAAUGCAAAGCAGCAAAUACUGCAAAUGCGGUUCCCUUUGACUUCACGUUGUAUUAUGUAACUUGUGGGAGCAGAUUAUCUUCCCGACUGGCUGGCUGCAAGCCACCUUUGCCUUCCCUGUGUGCUCACUGCCCAAUAAGGUGGCAUGGGCACUUUGGUAUGGGCAGGGCCAGUUGGGCAGCUUUAGGCCAGCGCGGCACCCAUGCGCAUCUUUUCUGCUUCCUUCUUUCUGGCUCUUUGCUCUCAACUACCCUCUCCCCAGUGUCUCUCCUGCAAAUAAAUUCCCAGCUGCCCCUCCA